rnacentral:rRNA from 1 species
GACGAACGCUGGCGGCGUGCUUAACACAUGCAAGUCGAACGGAAAGGCCCCCUUGUGGGGUACUCGAGUGGCGAACGGGUGAGUAACACGUGAGUAACCUACCCUUGACUUUGGGAUAACUUCAGGAAACUGGGGCUAAUACCGGAUAGGAGCUCCUGCUACAUGGUGGGGGUUGGAAAGUUUCGGCGGUUGGGGAUGGACUCGCGGCUUAUCAGCUUGUUGGUGGGGUAGUGGCUCACCAAGGCUUUGACGGGUAGCCGGCCUGAGAGGGUGACCGGCCACAUUGGGACUGAGAUACGGCCCAGACUCCUACGGGAGGCAGCAGUGGGGAAUAUUGCACAAUGGGCGGAAGCCUGAUGCAGCAACGCCGCGUGCGGGAUGACGGCCUUCGGGUUGUAAACCGCUUCCGCCUGUGACGAAGCGUGAGUGACGGUAAUGGGUAAAGAAGCACCGGCUAACUACGUG